ensembl:lncRNA
AAGCGACUUACUAUAAGUACAUUUCAGCCAUAAAGAUACAAACCCAGAAGUACAAGAAACAUAAAAGUGCAAUUUCAUCAAAUAAGCCGAUUAGAACUUGCUAAUAGAUAACAGCCAUAAUAAGUACAACUAAUGUGCAACAAUUUAUUUUUUUACUAUGUCUGAAGAGGUGUGCCUUUAGUUUGCGGCAAAGAAUGUAAAGACUCUGCAAGCCGAGGCUGACAUAAGGACUGACACCCAAAACAGCGCGGGAGUUUCUGCUAGUGUGAAGGUGUUUGUUCACUACCCUCCUCUGGAAAUAAAAGUCUACCUCCACAACAAGUAAAGAUUCAAGACGACAGAGAGGCGACUCUGAAAGAAAAGGUUUGGAUAAAUCCAUCUGAGAGCAAUUACAGUCCACCGGCCAAUUGUCAAAAAAGCAAAGAAGCAUCGAUCAUCAUGGGGAAAGGGGAGAGCGACGAGAAGCACGGGGCCCCGAUUCAGACUCAGCCCCGCAAACACGAGGAGGACAAGAGCCCAUGCGGGUGCUGCUCGAAGAGCACAUACGAGGGCUGGGUGGAGUGUUUGAGCUGUACGCAAAUCUUGUGCGAGGCUCUGGGAAGCAUGAUCCCAACCUGACCUUGAACAUCUGGACCAGUUUUUCCAGGCUGCGUUGAAUCUCAGUGUCCGCCAGCAGCUUUAGUGUGAUUUAUGCCAUUUGGAGAUGAAAAUAUUCACUUUCAGUCAGUUUCAUCAGCUAAUAAACUUGCUUUAUACCUCAAUGCAGGAGUUGUUAUUCACACAAUUCACUAUCUAUGUAUAAAAAAACUAAAGAGAUCCUUUUCAUGAACAAAUUGAUUGUGAUUGUGUGAUCAAUAUUGAUUGUGUAUUGAUUAAUAAACUUUUCUUCUAUUGUUACCCUGGAAACCGCAUGCAUCGCAGACGGAUUUCUAGCAUACAAACU